AGAGUUUGAUCCUGGCUCAGGAUGAACGCUGGCGGCGGGCUUACCAUGUGGGUCGCACGAUGAAGCCCAGCUUGCUGGGUGGAUUAGUGGCGAACGGGUGAGUAACACGUGAGUAACCUGCCCUUAACUCUGGGAUAAGCCUGGGAAACUGGGUCUAAUACCGGAUAGGAGCGCCCACCGCAUGGUGGGUGUUGGAAAGUAUCUUAUCCGGUUUUGAAGAUGGACUCGGCGGCCUAUCAGCUUGUUGGUGAGGUAAUGGCUCACACAAGGCGACGACGGGUAGCCGGCCUGAAGAGGGUGACCGGCCACACUGGGACUGAGAACACGGCCCAGACUCCUACGGGAGGCAGCAGUGGGGAAUAUUGCACAAUGGGCGCAAGCCUGAUGCAGCGACGCCGCGUGAGGGAUGACGGCCUUCGGGUUGUAAACCUCUUUCAGUAGGGAAGAAGCGAAAGUGACGGUACCUGCAGAAGAAGCACCGGCUAACUACGUGCCAGCAGCCGCGGUAAUACGUAGGGUGCGAGCGUUAUCCGGAAUUAUUGGGCGUAAAGAGCUCGUAGGCGGUUUGUCGCGUCUGUCGUGAAAGUCCGGGGCUUAACCCCGGAUCUGCGGUGGGUACGGGCAGACUAGAGUGCAGUAGGGGAGACUGGAAUUCCUGGUGUAGCGGUGGAAUGCGCAGAUAUCAGGAGGAACACCGAUGGCGAAGGCAGGUCUCUGGGCUGUAACUGACGCUGAGGAGCGAAAGCAUGGGGAGCGAACAGGAUUAGAUACCCUGGUAGUCCAUGCCGUAAACGUUGGGCACUAGGUGUGGGGACCAUUCCACGGUUUCCGCGCCGCAGCUAACGCAUUAAGUGCCCCGCCUGGGGAGUACGGCCGCAAGGCUAAAACUCAAAGGAAUUGACGGGGGCCCGCACAAGCGGCGGAGCAUGCGGAUUAAUUCGAUGCAACGCGAAGAACCUUACCAAGGCUUGACAUGUUCUCGAUCGCCGUAGAGAUACGGUUUCCCCUUUGGGGCGGGUUCACAGGUGGUGCAUGGUUGUCGUCAGCUCGUGUCGUGAGAUGUUGGGUUAAGUCCCGCAACGAGCGCAACCCUCGUUCCAUGUUGCCAGCACGUAAUGGUGGGGACUCAUGGGAGAACUGGCCGGGGUCAACUCGGAGGAAGGUGAAGGACGACGUCAAAUCAUCAUGCCCCUUAUGUCUUGGGGCUUCACGCAUGCUACAAUGGGCCGGGUACAAUGGGUUGCGAUACCUGUGAGCGUGGAGCUAAUCCCAAAAAGCCGGUCUCAGUUCGGAUUGGGGUCUGCAACUCGACCCCAUGAAGUCGGAGUCGCUAGUAAUCGCAGAUCAGCAACGCUGCGGUGAAUACGUUCCCGGGCCUUGUACACACCGCCCGUCAAGUCACGAAAGUUGGUAACACCCGAAGCCGGUAGCCUAACCCUUGUGGGGGGAGCCGUCGAAGGUGGGACCAGCGAUUGGGACUAAGUCGUAACAAGGUAACCGUA
rnacentral:rRNA from 1 species